GACGAACGCUGGCGGCGUGCUUAACACAUGCAAGUCGAACGGAAAGGCCCUGCUUUUGUGGGGUGCUCGAGUGGCGAACGGGUGAGUAACACGUGAGUAACCUGCCCUUGACUUUGGGAUAACUUCAGGAAACUGGGGCUAAUACCGGAUAGGAGCUCCUGCUGCAUGGUGGGGGUUGGAAAGUUUCGGCGGUUGGGGAUGGACUCGCGGCUUAUCAGCUUGUUGGUGGGGUAGUGGCUUACCAAGGCUUUGACGGGUAGCCGGCCUGAGAGGGUGACCGGCGACAUGGGGACUGAGAUACGGCCCAGACGCCUACGGGAGGCAGCAGUGGGGAAUAUUGCACAAUGGGCGGAAGCCUGAGGCAGCAACGCCGCGUGCGGGAUGACGGCCUUCGGGUUGUAAACCGCUUUCGCCUGUGACGAAGCGGGAGUGACGGUAAUGGGUAAAGAAGCACCGGCUAACUACGUG
rnacentral:rRNA from 1 species